CUCUGAUGAAAACUUACUUUAAUUGUUCCAUGACUGCUGACGUGUUUAAUUAAAGGCUUACAUGGCUACAUCUUUGGUGACAAAAUGUGAGGCGAUCACAAGGAUAAAUAAGUAUUUCAGUAUCAGAGCUGAGGCAUCUAGAGAGGACAAACCUGCCUCGGGUCAGCUCAGAGGUGACACAGAAGAGUAUUCAAAACAUGUUUGUCAAAAAGGUAAGCCUCACCAAAGUUUGUUUUCAACUUGAACAGUCUGUUGCUCCAAGAACUAUUUGAGACUACUCUCAAUGAAGAACAGAGAUGGAGGGAAAGGUUGAUUUUUUUUUUUCUAUGAAUUUUUCAUAUGUACAUAUUUUUGCAAUGCUUUUUAAGAAAGGAUACUUCCACUGAUUGUUUGGGUCAACAAGGAAUAAAAAAUAUGGAUUUAAAGAAUGAACGGCACAAACCUGAGUACUCAUCACUGCUUUUAAUCCCAUUGGAACAGAGUGACUCUCGAGCCGUGCCUUGGGUGCUGUUAUGACAGCAGGCAGUGAGUGCCCAAAUCCUGCACUGAUGCUAUGGCCCCAGAUGAAGAUCUCACCCAAUGACCCCAACCUGCUCCCACAUGCUCUGACUCACAGGCAGCCAGUUCCACACAUACAUACAAAAGGGCUUUGCCAGUUGUGCCAUGGUGCAAAACAAGGGAAAUCUCCCUCUUUGCCCGUUAUAAUGACUUGUGUGUUUCCAGCCUAUUCUACCUCACAGCACAGCGUAUGUGCAACAAUGCUUAAUUACAAAGAGGCCACGAUGAAACCAGAGGAGCCCAGUAACCAUGGAGAUCAGUGAUCAAUAAUAUAAUACUAUUUGUUUAUAAAUUAUCCAUAGUCCCUAUAUCCUUCUGUAAAAGGCAAGUGAGAUCCAGGCAACAUGUUCAAUUUAUAAUUAUUGCCUAAAAUAAAAUGUGAUUCUGUGGGUGAACACCUGCCCAUUAAUAACAUUAUUUUCAGAUUGUUCGAUAUGAUAUGGAUCGGUGGAGAUAACUGUGUUUGGAGGAGAAAUAUAAAGCUGCUCAAUAAAGUGGUGGCUGUAAAGAUUCAUCUGAAGGCUGUGAUGUGGAAAGUACUGCUUUCAACCAGAAGUCUCAGUAGAUACAACUGGGCUGUGUUACAUUUGUGGUGCGAAUGGGGAAUGACCUAAAAGCGUAUACACCAAGCACAAAACACAAACCAUGCUCCCAGUUCCUUUUCCAGGAACAAAACCCUCAUCGUGAAACUCUAAAGGUGGCAACUGUUAUGUGAAGGCUGUCUCAGACAAUGAGUAACACGACUCUGGAGGAGCUUUCAAAUCUUUUAGCUGCUUUUCCUUUUGGAUAAAUUAAGAUAAGUUCUGAGUUUUUUUUAUUCCCCCCCCUGCUUUUAUAUAAACAACUUGUUAGUUCUACUCAGUAGUUUCCAUUGGGAAAGCCAAUAGUCAUCAAAAUUUGAAGUUCUCCGUGCUUUACUGUUCUGGUAUAUUGGGGUGAUAAAACAAAAUGAUUUUCAUCUCAUUACUACCUAUUUCAAUGUUUCUGUGGUAUUUCCACAUUUUUAAUAUUUCUAGUUUCUUUUCAAAACCACUUUGUUAAAAAAUGGAUAUGAAAUGUGGAAAUGAUUUUUUUUAUAUUAUUCAACAAUGUUAUGUAAUGCAAACCCAUCAAUGACCUGCUUUGUGUUUCACUCCAUGAUGAGCUUUUUUUUCCUUUCAGCUGGGAAUGAUACUUUAAGAAAUCUUCCACAGAAUAUGAAAUCCGCCUCCCCAGCAGUAUGAAAGGCACAGCGUGGGGAAACAGGAGCCAUUUCACCACAAUCUACUGUAGUAUUUUAGUCAAUGUAGAGAAUGAACAAAUAUAAGGGACGGAAUGAUAUUCCAGAACAAAAAUAUAGUUAUGUGAUCAGCACUGAGAGGAUGAGAAUUAACUGAUUACAACGAAUCCCUCUUUUGUAAUGACUACGUAAUAUUUAUGUAAUUGUCAUAACAAAUCCCAUUUUUAUGGCUCCUCACAAGUGAAGUGAAAGCACUCCCACUGCUGCUGAGUGUGAGCUUUGGGGACACCCAGGGAUGCAGGGUUCUGGUGGACGAAAGUCUGGACAUGAACCAGAUGUAUGUACUUGCAGCCUGGAAGGCAAAUGGUACCCUGGGCUGCAUCAGUGGAAGGGUGGCCAGCAGGGAGAGGGAGGUGACUGUGUCCCUCUACUCUGCUCUUGUGAGGCCCCAUCUGCAGUACUCAGUCCAGUCCUGGGGCCCCAGGGAUAUCUCAUCGCAGUCUUCCAGUACUUGAAGGGAGUUUAUAAACUUAGACAGAUGAUAGUGAUAGCACAAGGGGGAAUGGAUUUAAACUGAAAGAGGGAAGGUUUAGGUUAGCUGUUAGAAAGAAAUUCUGCACUCAGAGGGUGGUGAGACACAUGAGCAGGCUGCUCAGAGAAAUUGUGGAUGCCCCAUCACUGGAGGCAUUCAAGGCCAGGCUUGAUGGGUUCCUGGGCAGUCUGAUCAGGUGGUUGGCAACCCGGCCCAAAACAGGGGCAUUGGAACUAGAUGAUCUUUGAGGUCCCUUUCAACCCAAGCCAUUCUAUGGUUCUGUGAUUCUGUGCCCAAGAUCCCCUCACAUCGGCUCAUAGUGCCGCCCUGCUGGGGCUAUCAGCACCAUGGGGCUUCAGCAUCCUAACCAGAUGGAUGGUUGAACCACGCAGAAAAAGGCCCAGAAAACAACACAAUGAAUGUCUGCUCAGCAGAGGAGAGAAAAGGUGAGACACUGUUGCCUAAAAAUAGAGAUGAGCUACAGCUGUAGGGCGAGCCCUGUUGAUGAGAGCACACCAGUCGCACUCAGGCUGCUUGGCAGGCGUCAGGCACACACACAGCUUGUUGUUAAGCAGCAUGGAAAGCAAUCACGAAUGAAUAGACUUUCUCCCUGUCCAUUUUUAGUCCUACUGCAAAGAAGAGGUCACCAGAAUUCCUUUUCCCUGAGCUUCAGUUUUGGAAAUAGCUGAGCUGCUAAGAAUUGGAGGAGAAAAAAAAAAUAAAGAAACAAAAGAAGGAAGGAAAAUAAGAAAGGUAGGCAAGUGUAGACAAAAGAUGUGAACUGUGUUUAGACAUGUCUCCUUACCAAGAAGGAUCACUGCUCUUGACCAGAUUUUGUCAGUUCUUUCAUUAUGAUGAUUUUCUCCACAUUCAGCACUUAAAAUCCAUCACUGGGAGAGGGAUGAAGAUGGAGAGCAAAGGGAAGGCAGCAAUGAAAACAAUAAACCAUUUGGUUCCUGCUGGAGAACAUACCUGUGUAUAAGGGAUGGACUAUCUGGUAAUGGAGUUAUUGACAGCAGAUACGGCAAAAUGACAGGAUUGGAGUCAGCAUAGCCACAUGAAGUAUCUGAUAUCUGAAUUGAAAGGAC